GCCUGGGUGGCUCAGUCGGUUGGGCAUCUGACUUCAGCUCAGGUCAUGAUCUCAUGGUUCAUGGGUUCGAGCCCCGCAUCAGGCU
rnacentral:tRNA from 1 species